AACAACAGUCGGUAGGCUGUCU
rnacentral:miRNA from 3 species